rnacentral:misc_RNA from 1 species
AAUGUGCCUUCCAGACUGCACAUGUAAGUUCCAUUGUUACGGGUAUUUGAUUUAUUAAUUACUUUUUUUAGGAAGGAAAGAAGUUACUGUAUUUUCUUGGUUUGAAUGGAAUUUGGUGUUUCGUUAGACUUGAUAAUGGAUUCUUGCGGAAGCUAAGCAAGAAGGCAGGCUAAAGCUUUGGAGUUCCUUCACCUCUGCUGUCUCAUCUAUUUUUCUUGCUGACGCUUCAGGAGUUAAUUUGUCAAGGCAUUAGGCAUUGUUCUUAUCUUUGUUUUAUUCUUGUGGAUGUACCCUCCCACCCAAGAAAAAACUUGAUAAUUUCAAAUUUAUUUUGUGCAGCUGAACAGAAAUUUUAUGAAUUAAACCCCAAUGGUCCCACAACACUAAUUUUCCGAAGGAAAUACCACAAUCAUGCAAAAGCAUUGUAUUUGUUCAUUUCUUUCCAUUCAUCUUUAAAACUGCACUUUAAAAGCUGGUAAUUUUCCUGUGGAGCAUCAUUAAUUAUAUUACUAUGCUUCUUGUGAAUCAUUAUUGGCUGUUAAUUCAUCCAAAAGAAGUAAAUAAAAACCAAUUCCUGUCUUUGCAAAUAAUAAUAAUAGUAUGCCCCUCAUCUUCCGUCAUUUUUGGGCUACUGACUUAGCCUUCUAUUGUCAUAGAGCCAUAAAGACACAAAUGAAUCUUUCAGAAACCCUCCAUACAGUUUUGUUAUCAUUUAUUGAGUCAUUAUUACAUAUAUUCAGCAAUCAUAUAUGGGUGGAUGAAAUCCACCUACAAACUGUUUCUUAGGUUUUUUGCAAGAUACCAAAUUGGUGGUCCCAUGAUAAGACCAAGUGGUACAACAUUGCAUGAACAUGCUCCAACCUGUACAUCCUUUCAUAAUGGUCAUUCACUGUUAUAGAUGGCGAGAUAAUCAAUCCAUUCAUGUCCUUGAAAAGCCCUGUUUCCAAAGGCAAGUAGCUGGUACAAGGGUCACUGGAAUCAUUUUCUUCAUGUUUGUGCAUUUGUUUUUAAUUUUUGGGAUAAAUCACUGUUUGUGCUCUUGGAAUCUUGUGUAAUUUAUAACAUUUUGCUCCUUGGCUUUGGGUGUAAAAUCCCUGAUAGGGUUUAUCCUGUAUAAAUUUGUAAUGCAUUAUUAGGUUUUCAACUCACAUAUGCAAAAUAAUACACGUAGAUUUGACAUUUCCUUACCUUAUUUAUGGUCUGUAGUUCUCUUACUUGACUGGUUUUUCUGUUUUGAUUUUGUUGCUACUGUCAUAAAUUAACUGCCUUAAUAUUCUUGUUUUAAGAAAGCCAUUGUUUAAAUGCUGGUUGCAUUAGGGGUUGUGGGUGAGUUU